rnacentral:rRNA from 1 species
GCGGGAGGGAAACACCCGGCCACAUGCCGAACCCGGCAGUUAAGCCUCCAAGCGCCGAUGGUACUGCGAGGGGUACUCGCGGGAGAGCAGGUCGCCGCCGGAU